GUGGGGAAUAUUGGACAAUGGGGGGAACCCUGAUCCAGCCAUGCCGCGUGUGUGAAGAAGGCCUUUUGGUUGUAAAGCACUUUAAGCGAGGAGGAGGAGCUCUUGGUUAAUACCCAAGAUGCUUGGACGUUACUCGCAGAAUAAGCACCGGCUAACUCUGUGCCAGCAGCCGCGGUAAUACAGAGGGUGCAAGCGUUAAUCGGAUUUACUGGGCGUAAAGCGCGCGUAGGUGGCCAAUUAAGUCAAAUGUGAAAUCCCCGAGCUUAACUUGGGAAUUGCAUUCGAUACUGGUUGGCUAGAGUAUGGGAGAGGAUGGUAGAAUUCCAGGUGUAGCGGUGAAAUGCGUAGAGAUCUGGAGGAAUACCGAUGGCGAAGGCAGCCAUCUGGCCUAAUACUGACACUGAGGUGCGAAAGCAUGGGGAGCAAACAGGAUUAGAAACCCCAGUAGUCC
rnacentral:rRNA from 2 species